CGCCCAGUCUCCAGCCUGGUGAGCAGGGCGCACAUGCCCUCCGCCAGCCGCAGCGCACGUGCGCGGCCGGAGAGAGGUCGGGCCGCCGUUCGGAGGCUUCCUGGAAGGGAAGCGCAGAAUCACUGAAGGAAGAUAAGCGUGGAAGACCAUUCUUCUCAUGGUCAUGUACAAUGUUUUCAGGGAUCUCAUCGAUGGAAGGAAAAGCUCCUGAGGAAAUAAGUUAGAACUUGCUCUUACAAUGGCACCUUUCAGUCCAUUCCCAUUAUGAUCUAAACUAGUGGCUGUCAUGAUUAUUUAUUUGUUAUUAGGUAAAAAAGUAAAGACAAAUCAGGCUUUGGUGACUUCAUGAAAAUGUAGUCAUCAAGUACUUAUGAAAUACUUUUCUACUUUAUGGUCCAGUCUCCAUGUCCUGAUAUUAUUAUUAAGUUCUCAUCUUCCUACAAUCCAGGCCUGAACCCCAAAUUGCUCUUUAAAAAAUGGAAAGCUCAAUGAAUUGUUUUCAUCACAAGUCUCCAUGUAACUGUGUUGCGACAAUCUAGGGUUUCUGUUCAAAGACUCCUGGAGUCUGCAUAUUGGAGUAAUUAAUCCCUUUCAGCUGUCAGCAUGCCAGAUUAUAACAUUCUAUGUGUGGAAGGUAUUUUAUCUGACCAAUUGCUGAAUCUGGAACUGCAACAGCUGGAUCCAAAAAUACACUGGUCAGUUGUACUAGUUUUUUUAGAUGUGGGCAGAAAGCUAGAUUCCUAAUUCUGACAUGUGAUUAGCCACUUCCCUGAUUUCAUACUACCCACAGAGUUAAUUUAUUUUAUUUAUUUUAUUCAAUUUAUAUCCCGCCCUUCUCCUAGUGGACUCAGGGCAGUGCACAGCCAGAACUAAAACACAUAUCAAUACAAAAUUUAAAAUUAUUAAAAGAAUUAAAUAACUGUGGCCCAAAAAAAUGUAAAACAUUGAAAACUAAAACCCAUCUAACAAUUUAAAAGCUAAAAAAGACUAAAAGGGGGGGGAGGGGUUGAUGGAAAAGAAAAGUUUUUAGGGCACGGCGAAAAACCCGGAGAUCCGAAAUCCUUCGUAUCUCGGGGGGCAAAUCGUUCCAGAGGGCAGGAGCGGCCACAGAGAAGGCCCUCACCCUGCGGGUCGCCAGCCGACAUUGCCUGGCUGACGGCACCCUGAGGAGUCCCUCUCUGUGGGAGCGUACUGGUCGGUGGGAGGCUAUCGGCGGCAGAAGGCGGUCCUGCAAAUACCCAGGUCCCAUGCCAUGGAGCGCUUUAAAGGUGGUAACCAACACCUUGAAGCGCACCCGGAAGAUCACUGGAAGCCAAUGCAGCUCACGCAGGAGAGGUGUCACAUGGGAGCGCCCCGUCGCUCCCGUAAUCUCCCGCACGGCUGCAUUCUGCACCAGUUGGAGCCUCCGGGUGCUCCUCAAGGGGAGCCCCAUGUAGAGAGCAUUGCAGUAGUCCAGGCGGGAAGUGACGAGCGCCUGAGUGACUGUGCGUAAGGAGUCCCGAUCCAGAAAGGGACGCAACUGGCGAAUCAGGCGGACCUGAUAAAAAGCCCCCCUGGCCACGGCCGUCAUAUGCUCUUCUAAAGACAGCCGUGCAUCCAGGAGGACACCCAAGUUGCGAGCCCUAUCCGUGGGGGCCAAUAACUCGCCCCCAAUAGCCAGCGAUGGUACCAGCUGGCUAUAUCGGGAUGCUGGAAGCCACAGCCACUCGGUCUUGGAAGGGUUGAGUCGAAGCCUGUUACUCCCCAUCCAGGUCCGCACGGCCUCCAGGCACCGGGACAUCACUUCAAGGGCAUUGUUGGGAUGGAGUUAUGGGAGUUACGUGUAACUUUCCAUUACAGCCUUAUACCUGAAAAAUAUAUAAGCCAGAGUAUAAGCAUGCAGAUAGUUUAGCAAGUUUGGCCUGUCCUUAAGCCAAAAUCUAAUAUUGUAGAAAUCUGUUUGUACACUAGGACUUUCUUUUCCUUUACUUGUAAUAACAGAUCUCUUGUCAUCCUAUCUGCUCCAAAGGGUCUCCAACUUUUAAGACAGACUCUGAGUGGACCUAUUUAGGUCCAUUGUCAGAAAGAAUUCCAUCAACAGAAGACCUUAAUUACAAUAUUUUAAUUAUAGCCCCUGAAGUCAAAUUAUUCAAAGCAAUAUUGUCUUUCACAUAAUAUCCACAUGAAAUGGAGCUGAUUUUAUAAUGUAGUAGAGUUGAAUCUGUCUCACUGCCUACUUUGUUUUAUAUUAAAAUCAAAGGUGCUACUAAAAUAAAUUGGAUAGCUCAACAGACUAAAAGCCUGUUAUUAACAUUCAGCUGUAUGCAAUUAUUGCAAGUUCGAAUCUCCCCAGGCUCAUGGUUGACUCAGCCUUCCAUCCUUUCUAAGGUAGGUAAAUUGAGGACCCAGUUUGUGGGGGCAAUAAGCUGACUUUGUAUAAAAGAUACAAAGUAUGAAGGCUAUUGCUUAACGCAUUGUAAGCCGCCCUGAGUCUCCGGAGAAGGGCGGCAUAUAAAUCUAAUUUAAAAAAAAUAAAAAAAUUAAAAUUUUAUUA